UGGCUCAGUUGGGUAGAGGGAUGACUAUGGCUCCGGAGGUCAGGGGUUCAAAUC
rnacentral:sRNA from 1 species